rnacentral:rRNA from 1 species
UGGGGAAUAUUGCGCAAUGGGCGAAAGCCUGACGCAGCGACGCCGCGUGAGGGAUGAAGGUUUUCGGAUCGUAAACCUCUGUCAGAAGGGAAGAAGUUGCAUGGGGCCAAUCACCUGUGCAUUGACGGUACCUUCAAAGGAAGCACCGGCUAACUCCGUGCCAGCAGCCGCGGUAAUACGGAGGGUGCAGCGUUAAUCGGAAUUACUGGGCGUAAAGCGCACGUAGGCUGUAUGUCAAGUCAAGGGUGAAAUCCCACGGCUCAACCGUGGAACUGCCUUUGAAACUGGCAAACUGGAGUAUGUGAGAGGGCGGCGGAAUUCCUGGUGUAGGAGUGAAAUCCGUAGAUAUCAGGAGGAACAUCAGUGGCGAAGGCGGCCGCCUGGCACAAAAGCUGACGCUGAGGUGCGAAAGCGUGGGGUAGCAAACAGGAUUAGAUACC